rnacentral:rRNA from 1 species
CGAUGAGCAGUAGACAUACACAUGCAAGUCGAGCGGUAACAGAAAGUAGCUUGCAUACUUUGCUGACGAGCGGCGGACGGGUGAGUAAUGCUUGGGAACAUGCCUUGAGGUGGGGGACAACAGUUGGAAACGACUGCUAAUACCGCAUAAUGUCUACGGACCAAAGGGGGCUUCGGCUCUCGCCUUUAGAUUGGCCCAAGUGGGAUUAGCUAGUUGGUGAGGUAAUGGCUCACCAAGGCGACGAUCCCUAGGCUGGUUUGAGAAGGAUGGAUCAAGCCACACUGGGACUGAGACACGGCCCUAGACUCCUACGGGAGGCAGCAGUGCGGAAUAUUUGCACAAUCGAUCGCAAGCCUGAUGCAGCCAUGCCGAGUGUGUGAAGAAGGCCUUCGGAUAGUAAAGCACUUUCAAGUCAGGAGGAAAGGUUAACAGUUAAUACCUGCUAGCUGUGACGUUACUGACAGAAGAAGCACCGGCUAACUCCGUGCCAGCAGCCGCGGUAAUACGGAGGGUGCGAGCGUUAAUCGGAAUUACUGGGCGUAAAGCGUACCGCAGGCGGUUUGUUAAGCGAGAUGUGAAAGCCCCGGGCUCAACCUGGGAACUGCAUUUCGAACUGGCAAACUAGAGUGUGAUAGAGGGUGGUAGAAUUUCAGGUGUAGCGGUGAAAUGCGUAGAGAUCUGAAGGAAUACCGAUGGCGAAGGCAGCCACCUGGGUCAACACUGACGCUCAUGUACGAAAGCGUGGGGAGCAAACGGGAUUAGAUACCCCGGUAGUCCACGCCGUAAACGAUGUCUACUAGAAGCUCGGAGCCUCGGUUCUGUUUUUCAAAGCUAACGCAUUAAGUAGACCGCCUGGGGAGUACAGCCGCAAGGUUAAAACUCAAAUGAAUUGACGGGGGCCCGCACAAGCCGGUGGAGCAUGUGGUUUAAUUCGAUGCAACGCGAAGAACAUUACCCUACACCUGACAUACAGAGAACUUACCAGAGAUGGUUUGGUGCCUUCCGGAACUCUGAAUACAGGUGCUGCAUGGCUGUCGGCCAGCUCGUGUUGUGAGAUGUUGGGAUAAGUCCCGCCAACCGAGCGCAACCCCUAUCCUUAGUUGCCUAGCAGGUAAUGCUGAGAACCUCUAAGGAGACUGCCAGUCAUAAACCGGAGGAAGGUGGGAGACGACGGUCAAGUCCAUCAUGGCCCCUUACCUUGUGAGGGCUACGACACAGUGCUCACAAUGGCAGCAUACAGAGUGCUGCGAACCUGCGAAGGUAAGCGAAUCACUUAAAGUGCGUCGUAGUCCGGAUUGGAGUCUGCAACUCGACUCCAUGAAGUCGGAAUCGCUAGUAAUCGCGUAUCAGAAUGACGCGGUGAAUACGUUCCCGGGCCUUGUACACACCGCCCGUCACACCAUGGGAGUGGGUUGCUCCAGAAGUAGAUAGUCUAACCCUCGGGAGGACGUUACCAUAGAGGAUGAGUAA